GACGAACGCUGGCGGCGUGCUUAACACAUGCAAGUCGAACGGAAAGGCCCUGCUUUUGUGGGGUGCUCGAGUGGCGAACGGGUGAGUAACACGUGAGUAACCUGCCCUUGACUUUGGGAUAACUUCAGGAAACUGGGGCUAAUACCGGAUAGGAGCUCCUGCUGCAUGGUGGGGGUUGGAAAGUUUCGGCGGUUGGGGAUGGACUCGCGGCUUAUCAGCUUGUUGGUGGGGUAGUGGCUUACCAAGGCUUUGACGGGUAGCCGGCCUGAGAGGGUGACCGGCGACCUUGGGACUGAGAUACGGCCCAGACUCCUACGGGAGGCAGCAGUGGGGAAUAUUGCACAAUGGGCGGAAGCCUGAUGCAGCAACGCCGCGUGCGGGAUGCCGGCCUUCGGGUUGUAAACCGCUUUCGCCUGUGACGAAGCGUGAGUGACGGUAAUGGGUCAAGAAGCACCGGCUAACUACGUG
rnacentral:rRNA from 1 species